rnacentral:rRNA from 1 species
UACGUAGGGUGCGAGCGUUGUCCGGAAUUAUUGGGGGUAAAGAGCUCGUAGGCGGUUUGUCGCGUCGACUGUGAAAACCUACAGCUUAACUGUGGGCUUGCAGUCGAUACGGGCAGACUUGAGUUCGGUAGGGGAGACUGGAAUUCCUGGUGUAGCGGUGAAAUGCGCAGAUAUCAGGAGGAACACCGGUGGCGAAGGCGGGUCUCUGGGCCGAUACUGACGCUGAGGAGCGAAAGCGUGGGGAGCGAACAGG